GGGUUAAGCCCCGCAACGAGCGCAACCCCYWWUUGUUAGUKGCCAGCAUUCAGUGGGCCACUCUAAUARGACUGCCGGUGACAAACCGGAGGAAGGUGGGGAUGACGUCAAAUCAUCAUGCCCCUUAUGACCUGGGCUACACACGUGCUACAAUGGAUGGUACAACGAGCAGCAAGACCGCGAGGUCAAGCGAAUCUCUUAAAGCCAUUCUCAGUUCGGAUUGCAGGCUGCAACUCGCCUGCAUGAAGCCGGAAUCGCUAGUAAUCGCGGAUCAGCACGCCGCGGUGAAUACGUUCCCGGGUCUUGUACACACCGCCCGUCACACCACGAGAGUUGGAGGCGCCCGAAGCCGGAUAGCUAACCUUUUGGAAGCGUCCGUCGAAGGUGAAGCCAAUAACUGGGGUGAAGUCGUAACAAGGUAACC
rnacentral:rRNA from 1 species